GACGAACGCUGGCGGCGUGCCUAAUACAUGCAAGUCGAGCGAAGUUUUUCUGGUGCUUGCACCGGAAAAACUUAGCGGCGAACGGGUGAGUAACACGUAAAGAACCUGCCUCAUAGACUGGGACAACUAUUGGAAACGAUAGCUAAUACCGGAUAAUAGCAUUAACUGCAUGGUUGAUGUUUAAAAGUUGGUUUUGCUAACACUAUGAGAUGGCUUUGCGGUGCAUUAGCUAGUUGGUGGGGUAAAGGCCUACCAAGGCGACAAUGCAUAGCCGACCUGAGAGGGUGAUCGGCCACACUGGGACUGAGACACGGCCCAGACUCCUAAGGGAGGCAGCAGUAGGGAAUCUUCCGCAAUGGGCGAAAGCCUGACGGAGCAACGCCGCGUGAGUGAAGAAGGAUUUCGGUUCGUAAAGCUCUGUUGUUAGGGAAGAAUGAUUGUGUAGUAACUAUACACAGUAGAGACGGUACCUAACCAGAAAGCCACGGCUAACUACGUG
rnacentral:rRNA from 1 species